rnacentral:lncRNA from 1 species
GAGAAUAUCUGGUGGGUAUUCCCCAAAAGUUUUUUUUUAAAUAAGGAUUCUAGGAUAUAAUAAAGUUUCAUAAAAUUGGAAUCUAUUUCUGACAUAAAAAGAAGUUACACACUUUUUGCUGUGGAAAUUAUAUUAGCAGGCUUUUUGCUUUGUAGGAUUUUUUUGCAACAUUGAGGUAGUGAUUGCAGCUCCAUAAGGAUUUUGUUUACUUUUGAUCUGGGUUCUGUUUUUACUUAAGGAGAAAAAAGUAU